rnacentral:rRNA from 1 species
AUACAGAGGGUGCGAGCGUUAAUCGGAAUUACUGGGCGUAAAGCGCGCGUAGGCGGUAUAUCAAGUUAGGCGUGAAAGCCCCGGGCUCAACCUGGGAACUGCAUUCGAUACUGUCUGGCUAGAGUGUGAUAGAGGGAGGCGGAAUUCCGCAUGUAGCGGUGAAAUGCGUAGAGAUGCGGAGGAACACCAAUGGCGAAGGCAGCCUCCUGGAUUAACACUGACGCUGAGGUGCGAAAGCGUGGGGAGCAAACAGGAUUAGAUACCCCGGUAGUCC